UACAGUAAUUAUUUUAAAUUAUAUAUUCUGUAGUUGUUGGAUGAUUUUUGUUCAUGUUGUUUAUUUGUUUAUGAAAUUAAGUUGUACAGACGUGCAUUACAAUUUUGUCACGUUUAGAUAACCGUAACCACUGGUGUAAGAUUCAUCAAAAUAUUGGCGGGAUUAUCCUACAGAAGAAGAGCGUAGGAAAACAAACAACGACCGGCCUGGUUUAGAGGGUGUGUUUGUUUAAACCAAUAUGCUGGGAGAAAGAGCUGGACAACAGGGGUUGUCCUUUUCAGGGUCCAGGCAGGCAAAGGUUCUGUCACAGAUGGAAAGAGAAAACAUAACAGCAUCAAGCUUGAAGUAUAAUUGAAUCUACUGAAAGUUGUCUCAUAACCACGUGUACUCUCCCACUCUGUUUCCAUUUCUGGUUUCUCCAUAGACGCACUGAGACUACAAAUUUCCUGGAAUAAAGAAAAAUACCCAUUAUGA